CCUACGGGAGGCUGCAGUAGGGAAUCUUCGGCAAUGGACGAAAGUCUGACCGAGCAACGCCGCGUGAGUGAAGAAGGUUUUCGGAUCGUAAAACUCUGUUGGUAGAGAAGAACGUUGGUGAGAGUGGAAAGCUCAUCAAGUGACGGUAACUACCCAGAAAGGGACGGCUAACUACGUGCCAGCAGCCGCGGUAAUACGUAGGUCCCGAGCGUUGUCCGGAUUUAUUGGGCGUAAAGCGAGCGCAGGUGGUUUAUUAAGUCUGGUGUAAAAGGCAGUGGCUCAACCAUUGUAUGCAUUGGAAACUGGUAGACUUGAGUGCAGGAGAGGAGAGUGGAAUUCCAUGUGUAGCGGUGAAAUGCGUAGAUAUAUGGAGGAACACCGGUGGCGAAAGCGGCUCUCUGGCCUGUAACUGACACUGAGGCUCGAAAGCGUGGGGAGCAAACAGGAUUAGAUACCCGAGUAGUC
rnacentral:rRNA from 1 species